rnacentral:misc_RNA from 1 species
AAGUCGUAACAAGGUUUCCGUAGGUGAACCUGCAAAAGGAUCAUUAACACGUAUCCAAACGUUAAAACAACCCUGUGAAUAUUGAAUCUCAGUUCCCCCAGGGCAGAAAAAUGGGCUUCCUCUAGUAAAUCAUUGUCUUAACAAGGUUUUGAGUUAGAGGAUGGCGCACGAGUAGAACCUGUAUUGGCGUUUACAACUAUCCACUCCUGGUGACCCCAAGCAACCAUCAUGUUUGGUGAAUUGUGCAAGGGCAGCGCAGUCAACGAUCGGUGGUCCACACGGCCAUCGACCGAGUUCAUUCAGGUUGAACAUGAUGCAUGUCUACCGCGCCCGACGAAAGUGCGACGCACCCUAACCGAACAACUGUUAACAAUGGAUAUCUUGGUUCUCGC